UUCACUAAUUCACGAAUUGGGAUAAACGCAGAGACCAAAUUUCCCUCACAGGAUCAAAAGAGUAUACUUUAUAUAUACUUUACACUGUAAAACCGAACAGUACAAGUAAAACAAUGUUUUUGAUUUGUAAACACUCAAAAAUGAAAAAAAGUUAAUAGUACUCUAAUCGUCUGUGUUACUUGAACAAAUUUGAACUUUUAAGUUGACAGCACUCAUCCGCUUUAAGUCAUUUGAAAAAAUAGAAAGCGUGGGAAACUUCCCCACGCAAAUUGUAGCAAAUUUGUAGGCGGAUCUUCUGCCAUACGUGGACCUUGUGUACAGCACCAACUAGCCAACACCGAGUGACAAGCGACGCCGGCAACGGUCGACCACCAGAUGACAAGAGACGAGAACAAGAUCAGUGAAAAUAGAAAACGAGAGAGGAGACGACGAGAAGAGAGAAAAACCGCAAUUAAACGUAAGUGGAAAAGUGAGGUGCAUGAUGACCCUAAAGCACGUCCUUUAUCAUAUUGUUUAAAAACCCGAAUGUUUGAAAAUAUUGUCUUAGGCUACAUGACGUAACUUUAUCCAGUUAGAACUAGCUAGCACUAGCAGCUAAGAAUUUGGCUGCUGUAUGCCAGCACUUGCUGGAUCAGCCAGCGAUCUAACUCAAUUUGCCAAUGUGAGUACUAAAAAUAUGAACUAAUUAACCCCCGUUAGCACUAUUUAACACAAUAGCUUGGAAGUGCAAGCUUUGUGGUGCACUGCUUGAUAACAGGGCACAGGUCCUGCAACAUUAUCGUUUACAGCAUGUUAGCAAUGUUUCCUCCAUUAACGUUAGUCCACUGUCAUGUUACCGACUGUCUGCACAUUUAAGUCAGUAGCCUAAAUUCAUUUGACACGGUCACACACAGUUCAUGCUCAGUCAGAAUGUGUAUUAUUCGCAUGUCAGCUGUGUAGGUGAAAACAACCAUUUAAUGUGCAAACUGUUCUCGCCCAUUUAAGGAUGCAUUUAAAGUGGCAUUUAAACCGACAUCAUGAGAUGGUGGAUUGUCCUAAUAGAGAUUGGCAGUAUGUUCAAAUGUGUAUUCGUCCUUCAAUUCACAGAUUCAGAAGUUGAUGCAAACAACAUUGGCAUUGAGAAGGAAGAAGAUCAUAUCAGACGUCCUUCCCCGCAGACAUAGCCUAUUGGUUCGGUGGUGGCCUGCAAUCAUGUUGGAAUCCCAGGGAUCCUCAGAUGUAAAUAUCAGACGUGCUGUGGCGCUCCGUGGCCUUCCUUUCUACCUCCACGAGGAUGAUGCCACUUUUCUAAAGACAUGGGAUGUAAGUCUCUCAAUCGGAGUUCCCAGAUAUUGAGGACCUUACUGUUGAACUCAUUCUGAUCAGCACGAACAGUGCAAAUGCAUCCCUCUGCCCAAAGAAGACUCCUGUUGUUUUGGAUUGAAAUGAUUGUUGAAUUUCCUAGCAUUGGUCAGGCAUUUGUCAUAAAGUAUCUAUCUAUCUAUCUAUCAAUCUAUCUAUCUAGUCUUUAUGCCCUUGAUCUAAACUGUGUUUAUUUGAAUUUAGCCUCCACUACAGCCCUGUUCUGAACUCCAACCUGUAUUUGUUUCCAUGGUUUACAUGAAAAUAAAAGAUUAAGAAGAAUUUCA